rnacentral:tRNA from 1 species
AUUUCAUUACUUAUGGCCACUUUGA